GAUGAACGCUGGCGGCGUGCUUAACACAUGCAAGUCGAACGAAGCAUUUGCGACAGAUUUUUUCGGAAUGAAGUUGCUUAUGACUGAGUGGCGGACGGGUGAGUAACGCGUGGGUAACCUGCCUUGUGCUGGGGGAUAGCAGCUGGAAACGGCUGGUAAUACCGCAUAAGCGCACAAUGUUGCAUGACAUGGUGUGAAAAACUCCGGUGGUAUAAGAUGGACCCGCGUCUGAUUAGCUAGUUGGUGAGAUAACAGCCCACCAAGGCGACGAUCAGUAGCCGACCUGAGAGGGUGACCGGCCACAUUGGGACUGAGACACGGCCCAGACUCCUACGGGAGGCAGCAGUGGGGAAUAUUGCACAAUGGAGGAAACUCUGAUGCAGCGACGCCGCGUGAGUGAAGAAGUAAUUCGUUAUGUAAAGCUCUAUCAGCAGGGAAGAUAGUGACGGUACCUGACUAAGAAGCUCCGGCUAAAUACGUG
rnacentral:rRNA from 1 species